rnacentral:rRNA from 1 species
CCUACGGGUGGCAGCAGUGGGGAAUAUUGGGCAAUGGAGGCAACUCUGACCCAGCAACGCCGCGUGAAUGAUGAAGGUCUUCGGAUUGUAAAGUUCUGUGAUGGGGGAUGAACAUAACGACGGUACCCCAAUAGCAAGCCACGGCUAACUCCGUGGCAGCAGCCGCGGUAAUACGUAGGUGGCAAGCGUUCUACGGAAUGACUGGGCGUAAAGGGGGCGUAGGUGGUUUAGGAAGUUGGCGGUGUAAUUCCGGGGCUCAACCACGGUGCUAUAGCCAAAAUUAUUAGACGAGAGUGCAGGAGGGGUAGGUGGAAUUCCUGGUGUAGCGGUAGAAUGCGUAGAGAUUAAGAGGAACAUCAGGGGCGAAGGCGACUUACUGGACUGUAACUGACACUGAUGCGCGAAAGCGUGGGGAGCAAACAGGAUUAGAUACCCCUGUAGUC